rnacentral:rRNA from 1 species
UACGGAGGGGGCUAGCGUUGUUCGGAAUUACUGGGCGUAAAGCGCACGUAGGCGGCUUUGUAAGUCAGAGGUGAAAGCCUGGAGCUCAACUCCAGAACUGCCUUUGAGACUGCAUCGCUUGAAUCCAGGAGAGGUGAGUGGAAUUCCGAGUGUAGAGGUGAAAUUCGUAGAUAUUCGGAAGAACACCAGUGGCGAAGGCGGCUCACUGGACUGGUAUUGACGCUGAGGUGCGAAAGCGUGGGGAGCAAACAG